AUUAAUGUAGCAAAAAUCGGCCAUGCAAAAGACCUAAACCCUUUCAAUAGGGGUUCAAAUCCCCUCAUUAACC
rnacentral:tRNA from 1 species